GUGACUGCAUGGGCUUGUUUCACACGGGUUUGCUAUACCAAGUCGUCCAAAAUUGACUGGACAGAAUGCCUUUGAUGAUCUGGAAAGACAGAUAAUGGCACUCCCAGCCCGCCAUGGGGGACUUGGUAUAGCAAACCCGUGUGAAACAAGCCCUGGCCAGUUCACGAUGAGCAUGUCAAUCUCAGCACCACUAGUCAGCCUGAUACUUGACCAAUCCGAUAUAUACGAACCUACAAUGAAGCAAAAGCAAGCCAGACUGAGGAACAAUGCCAAAAAAUUCCGCCAACAGAUGGAAGCCAGGACAGCAAGUGAGCUAAAUGAAGAACUACCAAACAAUUUGAAAAAAAUGGUUGGAAUAUGCUCAGAGAAAGGUACCUCAAGCUGGAUAACAGCGCUGCCUAUUGAAGAGCAUGGUUUCAUGCUACACAAGGGAGCCUUCAGAGAUGCUCUUUGCCUCAGGUACGGCUGGCGGCCUCAGAACCUACCCUCUCACUGUGUCUGUGGACAUCACUUCACAGUAGAGCAUGCACUCAGCUGCUCUAGGGGAGGAUUUCCAACAAUAAGACAUAAUGAAAUACGCAACAUCACAGCAAAUCUUAUGAGCGAAGUAUGUCCAGAUGUGGGUAUUGAACCAACCUUACAGCCUGUGACGGAAGAGCAGUUCCAACUUAGGACAACCAACCGCGAGAAUGGGGCUCGCCUUGAUGUUGUGGCCCAGAGCUUCUGGAGCAACGAUAGACAGAGUGCAUUUUUUGAUGUCAGGGUCUUCAACCCGUACGCACCUACCUAUCGCCGCUCCACCAUGGCCCAGAGCUACAGAAGAAACGAGAUGGAGAAGAAGAGAGCUUAUGAACAGCGUGUAAGAGAAGUCGAACAUGGAUCGUUUACGCCUUUGUUUUCUCUGCUGCUGGAGGUAUGGGUCCGGCUGCAGCUAUUGUCUACAAGAAACUAGCUUCAAUGCUGGCAGAGAAACAUGACAAAACAUACAGCACAACUCUAAAUUGGAUGAGAUGUAUAGGCUAAAUUUCUCCCUCAUAAGAUCAGAGAUUAUGUGCAUCAGAGGCUCUAGGAAGUCAUUCACCACCACCACACCAUGGAAGGCCUUAGACACCGGCACUAUUGACCUAGCAACCCAAGAAGGCCGGGUGCUAUCGGUCUGAAACAUGUGUUUUCCCAGGAACUUAUGUCACAUGUUGUUGUUUUUUUCUUGUUUUUUUUUUUUUUUUUUUUUUUUUGUGUUUUAUCUUUUCACUUGCAAUAAUUAUUAUUAUUAUUAAAAAAACAAAAAACAAAAAAACAUUCUAAUAGCCAUGGGAUAUAGUUGGGUGCGGCACAAAAGUUGGACCACACCCAAUAAAUAUGGACACCAAGUUUAAUACAAGCAAGUGCAGUCUUCAGUCUAGUCUCUAUAGCUCUGUCUGCAUGCAGCAGGUUGCUCUAAGCCCCAAGCAACAAUUAACAGGGGCCGGCCUGAUUCGUGAUCAUUCUGGGAAGGAGUUUUGCCCAUGCAUGCAAGCCAAUGAAGAGUGUUCGGUGAAAUAAUUUAUUACCGACGAUGAAAAACACUUUUAUUUAUUUGUACAACACAGAAAUGUAUUUGUCAUACUACAAUGUUUAUAAAGUCAACAGUUAUAAACAACAAUUUUUUCUUGAGUAUCCAUGCAUGACACAAUUAAAUGUAUGUGCAUGUGAAUAAGAAUUUUCAUCAUGUUGA